rnacentral:rRNA from 1 species
CAGAGCAGUACGGUCAACUAAAACUUAAAGAACUUGGCGGUUUUCUAGAUCUCCUUGGAGGAGCUUGUCAUCGAAUUGAUAACCCACAAGACACCUCACCAACUCAAGACUUAUCAGCUUGUAUACCAUCGUCGUCAGCUCACAUCAAAAGAGAGUAAGCCAAAUGGAAAAUACCCACAACGUCAGAUCAAGGUGCAGCUAAUGAGCUGGGGAUAGAUGAGCUACUUUAUUCACAAAACAGGGGAAGUAACCA